UGAAACAUUUCUGAGAACCUCACGAACAAUAGAAUGCACCCUCGGACAUGUGUCUCUGUAAAAAGAGUUAUCAAGCUGUGCAUUUGAGAAGGGUUGUGAUGCUGCAAGCAAAACCACCACACAGAAAAGUGUUACUUUCACUGUGAAAACACUGAAAGAACUCAUUGCUUCUUGUGUUUUGAGCUGUGAAUGUGAUGUUGUGAGCUUCGCCAAAUGCUCUGGCUCUAUUUAAAGAGACAGAAGAAAAGUGGAUAGUGGUUUGGUUUCAUCAUCUGCUGCUGGUGGGUUCAGAUUUUCAAUCAUUCUGCCAAGAUUAAUGAGAAAAGUCAAAUUUGGUGUUUCUGGAUUUUAAUAAUAAUUGUUUAUUUGAAACAUUUAUAUUUAUUUUACACAUGUUACAAGUAUAAAAUAAUUAUAAGAAAAUUAAACAUUUGUAUUUAAAAAAAAGAAAAAAGAUAAAAUAAUAAAGAGUAAUGUCAUGUAAAAACUUGUGUCUUAAAAUAUCAUUUUUCUAUUUUUUACAAUGAAUUGUAAAUUUAACUAAAAAUUUAAAUAAGUCACCAUUUAAGAGAUGAUAUUUUGAGUUAUAUAAAUGUGUUACAAUAUUAUCUUUUGUUAUUAACUUUUUAAAUAUAAAAAAUAAUGAUAAUAUAUAUAUAUAUAUAUAUAUAUUUACAUUCAUUUAAUACAUAUUUACUUUUAUUUUGACACAUAUUAUAAAAAUAAAAUAAUUACAAGAAAAUUAAUUUUUUAUAUUUAAAAAAUAGAAAAUUAUAAUAUCAAAUGAAGAUAAAGAAUUUUAAUAUCUAAAUAUCAUUUAUAAAUAUAAUUUUUUUAAUAAUUAUUUUACUAUUAUAAUAUUUGUGAAAUGAAUGUAAACGAUGUUACCUAUAAUUACUAUCAAUGUUUAUAUAAUUAAAUUUUUGUUUGAACUUAACCAGACUUACAUUAGAUACACAGAUUAAUGGGAACUAGACAUGUACUCCAAAUUUUGUUUAUUUAUAAAAAAAAAAAAAACUUUUCUAUUUAUUGUUGAAAACAGUAUAUUUUUUAUUUUACCAAUAAUUCUUUCAUGCCUAAAAAUAUCACAAAAAUAAUUUUUUUUAAUGAAAAUAGAAUUAUGGAAAAAAGGAAAAAGAAAAAGACUACACAUGAGUGUAAAAGGAAGUAUUUGUGUCUCCUAUUUAUACACAAAGUGUUUGACUAAAAAUUGCAUGGUGAUAAUUUUAUAAUUAAUAAUAUUUGCGUAGUUUUUUUUUUUUUUAAUAUCGACCUUAUUUUGUAAUUGCACUGGUGAUUAAUAGGUAUUGUUCUUUCAUCUCUGUCAACGGUUUUGCAUUUAUGAACUCAUUGAUUAAAUUGUAGUUUAUAGUUGGUUUAAACCUUUUUUUAGUCCUUAAGUUAUAAGUAGAUGUUCAGUUUAGUCUCCGUUUUUAAAAAUAUAAAUCUUUGGUCCCUAAGUUAUAAAAGAAUGUAUCAAAUGAGUUAUUUUUUGACUUGAAAUAUUGUUUUUGAUUGUUUCUUAAAAACUGCCACAUCUUUAGAUUGCUCUGAUUUGUUUUUUAAUAAUAACAACACUUUAGAUUGCUCUUUGUACUUUGACCAUGAACAUAAAAAAAAAGGACUCAUUUGAUACAUUUUUUAUAACUUAGGAACCAAAGAUUUACAUUCUUAAAAGCGGAGAUUAAACUGAACAUCUACUUAUAACUUAGGAACAAAAAAAAAUUUAAACCUUUAUAGUUCUUCGUCAGUGACAGCAGUCUAAACUUAAACUUCAUUGAUGUCUAAUUGUUACUAAUUUCGUCAAUAUUUGACAAACUUUUAUAAAAUAUCCAUACAUCAAUAGCACUUGAUAAAAACAAUGACAAGUUAAUCAUGAUGUUAUAAUUAUAUGCUAAAUCAAAAUAAAAAGUUACUGAAUACAUCAAUACACAUAACAAUCGGACAAAAUAUAAUUCAAAAUACAAUAAAUUGAAUACCUGAAAAAAAAAAAAACAAAAAAUUGACAACAUAAACUUAUGAUCACAAUUAAAUAUCUUUUGUUUGAAACAAAUAUAGAUCCUUAUGAAACAAAUAUAGACCACUUAUAGUGUUUUUUUAAGUAAUGCAAUUUUCUUCACUAUCAUUAUAUAUAUAUAUAUAUAUAUAUAUAUAUAUAUAUAUAUAUAUAUAUAUAUAUAUAUAUAAUAUUAAUUAGUAAUUAACAAUGCUUAUUGUAUACAAAUUAUAUUAUUUAUCAAUAUCCAAUUUAUGAUGAAGAUGUUCUUCACCUCCCUUAUUAAAGUAAUAUUGAUAAGUUUUAACUUUUUUGUAAAAAAAAGUGAUAGAUUAUAUGAUUUUUUACAAUAAGUCAUUAACUCAACAAAUAUAACAUCAUGCAUUAGAUGAUCAAUUCUAUAAUACAUGUCAACUAAAAAAAAAAAACCUCAAAUUUAUUAAAUUUAUUAGAAUACAUUUCAAGCCAAAGCACAUUUCAACUUAAUAAAAUAAACUUUACUAACAAAUUGCUACGGAACACAAAUAUACUGACACUCAUCUAAGUCUUUAAAAUCUUUAAAGAAAAUAUUUUUUUAACAAUUUAUUUUUUAUAAUUUUUUUAUAAUGUUUAUGUAAUAGCUCGUAAUUAAUUCAUUUUAAAUAUAGGGAUCAAUAAAAUAAUAAUAUAUAGUCUACAAUUAAAAAAUUGUUAACCUAUCAUAGUCUAAUAAAAAAAACCAAAAUCUAAACUAUAGAAAAAGAAAAAGAAAGGCUUUAAUAAACACUUCAAGAUAACAGUUUUCUCCCAUUCCUUUUACUUUUCAAAUUAAAACUAAAGAAGCACACAUAUAUAAGUUAAAGAUAAAACAUAGUUAUUAACAAUAUAUAAUUAAUACAUUCACAAUUAAGAUUCAUUGUCAUUACUAUCUAAGACUAUAGAAAUGAAACAAAUGAAUUAUUAAUAAGAACUAAAAUCAAUAUUUACAAAAAAAAAAUCAUAAAAAUAUUUAACCAUACAUUUAAAUAAACUUAAUGAUUAUCUACAACAAUGCUACGGUAAAAUAAAGUUCACUUUGUUAUACCGAAUUACUGUUUUGUUCAACAUUGAAUCAAGCCUAUGAUGAUAGAUUAAAUCUAUGUUUCCUCUAUACUUACACUUACAAGUGUAUAAAUGAUCAAUAUAUAAUUGGGUUUCCUUUAUUGAAGUUCUGGAAAACUUUAGUUAUAAUGUUAUUUUAAGAAAGAGCAUAUUUGGGUUGGUGCGUCUAAGAGAAAAAAAAAAAAGAAAAAGAUUAUCGAAGUAGGUUUAAUAUAUAUUAUUCAUGGUUUUAACCUUUUAUAAGAUGGUCCAUCGGUGGUUCCACAAGUUUUAUUUAUUUAUUUAUUCGUAUUCAUAUAGUUAAAAAUACAACUUAAUUCGAAAUUUUAAAGUUAAUUAUUUACUAAAUGCAUUCAAACUUUAAUUAUAAUAUUAAGUAUUUGAAAUUUAGAACACAUGUAAAAAUAAGAUUUUCAUGAUGACAUGGGGGUCCAUUUCUUUGUUGAUAACUUUUUCUUUAUGAGUUCACGUUAUUAACCUUGUUUUUUGUGUCCUCCAUAUUAUAAUUAAAGUUCUUUAUAUUAUAAGUAUUACGAUUUCUAUUUUAAAUUUUAUAAAUGUUUCAAUUAUUUUAAAUCUUUAUACUUAAAAAAAAUAAAGCAGUAUUAUUUCAUAUCCAAACUCGUGAUAACAUAUGUAAUCAAAGAAAACUAUAUCUCAAUUUUAUUGGUUGAUAUGUAUAUAUAAGAGAAAAGUUUAUUUUGAAACCUUAUUUUUUAAUAAACUUUUAACAACUUUAUAUAAUAAUAAAAUAUUAAAUUAAAAUAUAAAGUAAGUUAUUGAAUAAAAAUUAAUAAAAUAUUGUGAAGAGGGGGUAUGAAUAUACAUUAUUAUCAAUGUAUCCAUAUGUUAGGAAUGAAAUCUAAGAUUGAGUUUUAUAUAAUGUAAAAUCAAUAAAGUUAAGCAACAUAAUAUAAAAAAAUAUCUACAAAUUUAUUACUUUAAAUAUUUUGGUAAAAAGUGAGGUUAUAUACUUUAUAUGGAUUAAAUUGUUUCCAUUACGUACGUACCUACUCCUCUCAGAAUUUCAACUCGAAUUUAAGAUCUAAAAAUAGUGUUGUAAUAUUUUAUAUGGUGUUUCGUCAUGAGUUAUUGCAGUAGAAUCUUUCCAACAAAUUUUAAAGAAAGACUUUAUAUAAUUUCUAAACUAAAUGUAUGAAACGUAGAGAGUUGAAAAUGAAUUUCUAUUAAAUCUGAGUCAUCAUUUGAAUGGUUUUUAAGAUAUUUUUUUAUUAAUACUGUAAAAUAAUAUUUUUAAUUUAAAAAAAUUACCCCCAACAUAUUUUGAUUUAAUAUUGGACAAAAGAUGAGAUCUGCAUUAUUAAACCUUAAAGUAAAGGUGUCUGCCAACCACCAUGCUUUUGAAACAGUAACAUGUAACGUGGGACCUUCUGAAUUCUGAAUUAAAUACAUUUUUUAAUCUUAGUUUUUCCAACCAUUCUUUUUCAAUGGUCCUUUAGGUCAAUAAAAUCAACCCAUCCCCAUUUCGAGUAACUUGUCCUGACCAUGCUCUUUUGCUUUUAUCAAACCAUUUUAACAUCAAAAAUAUUUUUUACACACUAAAAUCUUUUACUUUUAUACUAUUUUUAAUUACUUUUUUUUUCUUAAAAAAUAUAAAAAUUUAUAUUUUUAUAACGAUUUUAUUUUUAUAUUUUGUGUCAAGUAAAUAUAAAAGUAUUAUUUUUCUUUUAACAUUUAUAAACAAUUUGUAUAUUUUUUUAUUCAAUUACAAAUUUAUCAUUUAUUCGUUUUAUAUGUUCAAAAUACACUAAUGAUGAUUUCAUGUUAUAGUUUCUAUUUUCUAACAAGAUCCCACCAACACUUGAUAUUACUAAUAUUAUAUUAGUGAUCACGUGAUAAAGUUAAUUUGACUACCAUCUCCAUCUUGUUUAUUAAUUAAUAAAAUUUACUUAACAACGGAUUUGGUCUCCAAUUAUUGGGGUUUUCUUUUAGUUUUUCGAAAUGUCCCUUUAACUUCUGGUAUCUGAAAAAUAUGUUGUAUUCUUUUUUUUUUUUUUUUAAUUUUGUGGACUCUUCUUCGUUUAAUGUUUUUUUUUUUUUUACUUUUUUUUAGGUCAUUAGAAAAGUAUAACAUAUUUCCGAUAACGUGUUGGAUUAGUAUAGUUAAGUAACAAUGAUAAAAUAAAAUACAAAUUAAACCAAAAAUUACAAAUAUCGUACUAUUCGAAUUUGCUACGCGUAGAUUUUACCUAUAUAACACGUACGAUACGAUAUAAGUUGAAUCUGUAAAUUAAUUCAAGCUAGCCUUAUCCAAUUAAGGGUUUAUUUUAUUGAUCUAUUAGUUGUUAAUAUUGUAUUUAUUGUCCCCUCAUAAAAAAGGUUGAACCUUAGUUUUGUUGCAGUCACAUGAAUUAUAUAUAUUUUUUAAUAUAUUAAUUAUUACAAAAAUCUUUAACAUAUUGCAAGCAAUAAUAUAUUAAAAGAAUGAAAGAAAAAUAUUUUGAAUUUUAUAUAAGAUAUAAUGUAUCAAAAUUGGUAUAACAAGUUAUAAUAUGAAUAAGUUUUAAAAAAUUGAGAAACUUAACAUAUAAAUAUAGUAAAUUAUAUGAAUCAAAUACAUUUGACGUGUAAUGGUUUAUCAAUCACAAUAUACUCUCACAAUUUUUAUUGUUAUUGAUGUGUUGCGCUUGUUAAGUAGUGUGUAUCUAGUGCUCAUAAGUGUUCUAGAGAUUAUGCAAAUAUCUCUUGCAAACAAACAAAUGAUGAUAACUCAACCUUUUAUAAUUGGAGAUCUUGUGAAAAAGGUUUGUAUAGGUAAGGACUGUUAAGAAGUGGACUUUAAACCUAACUCAACUCCAUAAAAUCAGCUUAUAAGGUGAGGUUUGCACCCACUUAUAUAUAUAUAUAUAUAUAUAUAUAUAUAUAUAUAUAUAAUAUCAAAUUGGUCUUAUCUUUAAUCGAUGCGAGACUUCUAAUACACUCCUUCCCGCCAAGGUAUAGACAUCAUCUUGAGCGUGAGACUAAACAUUAAUGGGUGGUCUAAUAACGGGUGAAACAAUAUGCCCAACAAACAACAAAUAUUGCUAGGUUAGACUCUAACCAAGCUCUCAUAUCAUGUUAAGAAGUGGACUUUAAACUUAACUAUUGCCCACUCAAUUUAGAAUAUGUGUGUGGUUAAUUUAGAGUAUAUAACUUAUUAUACCAAUUCUUAUACAUUACAUCUUAUAUGAGAUCCAAGAUUUUCUUCUUUCGUUCUUUUCAUAUAUUAACUUUUGCAAUAUGUGGGGAUUGUUAUGAUAAUCAAUAUAUUAUAAAAGAAUAUAAUUAUAAAGAUGCAAUAGAGUAUAAUACUACAUAAAUGUUCACACAUGGUGGUGGUUGUGAACGUUGGACUUCUUUGCUUUGCAAGUCAGGAUAUAUUAUUUUUCCACUCAUCUAUACCUCUCCUACACUUAUAAAUCGAUGCUCUUUUUCACCUUAAAAAAGAUACAUCGCUCACAUAUCUCUUCUUUCACUCUUGCUUAUUCUUUUUUCUUCUCUUUAUCUUCAAUCUUGAGUGUUUAUUUAUUCUUUAACAAAGUUUUCCUUACUACUUUUGAAUUCGUUGAUGUAUUUAGAGACGUUCCUGUUAUAUCUUAAAUAAAUUCUUAACUACAGUAAUCAUUCACCUAUAAGAAAAUCCAUUUAACUUGUGUUUUUAUCAGUUUUUUCAAUAGUUGUGUGGAUGCAACUUAUUUAAAUUAUCUUUUAUUUCAUAAAAAAAGUAUAUUGAAAUAUUAAAUCAAAGUUAUUGAACGGAGCAUUGAACUUGGAGAAUGAAAUUAAUAAUAAAGAAAUUAACCCUAGUUUUGUAGGUCUUGUUUGUUUGGAUAGACAGUGUCGUGCUUCGUACAUGGAAUUAAUUAACGUUCAUAGCUAAAUUUGUUGAAGUAGUUGGUACAAACUGGGAUUCUGGGAACGUCUUGCUCGAACCACAUGUCGAUUUGAUUAUUAAUUAAUGUAGAUCUUGUCUAACUUUCAGUUAGGAUUUCAACCUAAACCCCCAGACAUUUUUGCUUGGAUUUUGCUGAACAUGUAUUUUAUUUCAUCUUAGUCAAUAAUCUGAAAUAAAAGUAUUUGAUUGAUGUACUUUAUUUACUCAAGAACAAAACGUGUAAUGAACACAAAAUUUUUAAGUUAUUGAGAUCCGCGCACUUUUUAUUACUAUAGUUUAUUUGCAUAUGAAAAUUCAAUAAUAAUGUAAUUAGAAAAAAAUGUAAAGUUACUUAAAGAAAAAAAAAGUAAUAUUUUUUUAUUUUAAAUAAAAUAUUUGUGUACCAAGAAGUACAUAAUUUAAACAAAACAUGAAAAAUGUUGGUACAAAAUUUAUAGUUUGUAAGGUUGAAGUUGAAUUUUAUUGACUAGAAAUAGUUAGUUUUUUUGUUGAUGUGCUCAAUAGUUUUCUAAGUCAUAAGUCAAUUUAAUUUAAUUAAAAGAGUUUUUAGAUGAAGUUGAGAAUGUGUUUAAAAAAUUGAUUUAUAAGAGUGUAUAAUGACAUAAAUUAAUAUGAUGAUAGAGAAUUUCAUAUUUAAAAAUAAUACGGUGGUUAGAAUGUUAUUUUAUUCAUAUAUUUGAUACAAUUUUAUUUUAUUAAUGACACUGUGAGAAACCAAUUAUAAUAUAUAUAUAUAUAUAUAUAUAUAUAUAUAUAUAUAUAUAUAAAUUAAUUAGUUAUAUUACUUUUCUUAUAACGUUACAUUUAACAAGGAAUCAAAUGUUACUGAACCCGACAAACAUAUGAUUGGUAGCAUGAUGAAGCAAUGAACUUUGGCAUGGACAAACAUAAUUUGCAAAUAUUUGUUAAGCAAUUUUAUAUUUCAAUCUAUAUAUAAUUAACCACUCCAACCCUUGUUCUAUUUUCUAACCCUUCUUCUGUCUCGACAAAGUUCGCAUUAUUGUAUUUGGCUUUUUGAUAACUUUUUUCCUUUUAAAUUGAUUUGAAUUUAGGAAAGAGUUGAAUAUGUGUUUAUUUUUUAGUGUUUUAAUUUUGAUGUGAUAUUUGAAUUGUUUUUAUAUAAAAUUUUGAUUUUAGUUUUUAAAAACAAAUAAAUAAAUAAAUAUAAUAUUUUAAUUAAUCAUAUUACAUUUUUUUACGGUUAAACAUGUAUUUUUAUUAAUAUUAAAAAAACAUAUUAAAUAAUAUAAAUAUCUCAAAUACCAACAUAAAUAUAUAAAAAGAUUAACGAAAUUAAAUUAAAAAAGUUAUAUAUAUAUUUAUUAUUAAAAUUUAGAAACUUAAAUAUAACAAAAUUUUACAUGGAAACAUAUUCUAGUUUUGUGUGGAAGUUAAAGUAAAAAACAUAUCUAUUCUUAUAUUAUAAUGUUAUUUUUAGAUUAUUUGUAUAAAUUCUUUGGUGAAACAUACGUGGUUUUAAACAUAAAGGUAAAUUCCAAUUUAAAGUCUACCAAUUCACUAUAUGGUGAGAGGCUUAUGUACUUCAACAUUGAUGAAGUGGCAGUUUGAUCGAUCAUGCAGGAAUUAUGAUAAUAAAAAGAAAAACGUAUAUCAAAGAGCUUGUUCCUCUGAUAUUGUUCCGUGGAGAAUGCCACUAUGAUGGCAUGAUCAUCUUUCAUUAUAUAUCAUCGUAUUGAAAGUCUUUUUCUGAAAUGACAAAUAUUCAAUAUUUAUUAUUAAAGUUUGGAAACUUAAAUACAUCAAAAUUUUGUAUAAAACAAAUUUUAAUUUUGUAUGGAGAUUAAAAAACUAAAAUUAUAUUUAAUUCUAGUUUAUAAUGUUAGUGAGUUAUUUGUAUAAAUUCCUUGACGAAACAUAUGUGGUUUUAAACUAUAAUGGAGCAGAUAAGAGAUAAGAAAAAGAGAAAUUGAUAUUAAGAACAGAACAUGGUUGAAAAUACAAGAAAGGCAGAGAUGAUACAUGCGACAAUGAAACAUGGUUAGCUACGGACACUUUAUGCGAAUAAAGUGGGCAUAGCUUGGUUAUUAUUGACGAUGUGAAUGACAGAAUUUGAAGUGUAUUGAUUUAUAUAGAGCUAACCAUACCCUCCUCUGAUUCGGAGGCCACAGGUUGCAUAACUUGAACAGAUCUUCUGUUAAUAAAAUUACAUUGUUUUCUUAUUUCUCCUCUGUUCCCGGUGAGAACACCGAUAUUUCCCAUUUUUAUCAUUGAUUUGGCAAAGCUGCUAAAGAAAGCCUUUUGGUCAGCACUGAACCUGUUGACAAGAGGGAUGGUGUCAGCACCGGGUGUUGAGAACAACUCUUGGUCACUCUGAAGCAAACCCCUCUUAACCUGAAGGUUGGAGUAAUAGUUUUUGUCCAAUCUAUCAGGAGUGGUUGGGUCAAAAUUUACCAAGUUGUUUGGUCCACCUUGAGGGCAUAUAUUACGUAAUUGUUGUGCGUAAGCAGGGUCGAGAGUUGGAUCGGGUCUGCCAGUGCCACUGAAGUUGUACAAUCGGGUAAGAAUGAAAAAGCAGUGAGCUCUGCCAAAUGAAUGAGCACCUGAAAUCGAACCACAUGGAAAUGCGUUUUCAACACUUUUUCCAUUUAUUAUUGUUAUUGCUGCAAACUGGGGAAGAUUUGUUAUUACCUGAGAGUGCAACUAGAUCAGUAGUGUCAAGACGUUGAACAGCAAAUGCUGCUUUAAGUUGAUCGAGUGUGGAGAAAGGAGAAGGAAGGUUUUGUUCAGCAAGUGUUCUGUUUGCUGUUAAACUAUCCCUUCUUCCCAGUGGAAAUUUGAUGAAAGGACCACCAGCCUAUCAAUAUUAAAUCACACACUACUUUUACAUCAUUGGACAACUUCAAAAAGGUGAAAAGAAGUAUGGUCUGAGUUCUGAGACGUACCAGAAUAGAAGAAACUUCAGCUGCAAUAGUAAGAAUAUCUGCACAAGAAACAACGCCGGGACAAACAUUCUCCACUGCUGUCUUGAUGUCAUUCACCACAUCCAAACCUCUUAUGGAGUUGUUGUUUGGCCGGGCUUGUUGCUCACUCACUAUCGUUGCAGUGUUGUUCAACAAAAUCGAUGCAUCACAACCCUGCAAGCCACAAUAUAUAUCAGUUUCUUUCUAAUUCGUUCUUAAAAAUAUCAAAUGUUUGAUAGUUGUUUCAACAUGAAAAAAUUACAUACUUGAACAAAACAGUCGUGAAAGAAAAGCCUGACGAGACUGGCAGGCAGACGAGGAUCCUUUUGUGAAGCUCUCUCUACCACUUUGAACACAACAAGACGCACGGGUGGACAAGUCCACAAGUAGAAGAAGGGGUCUAGUUGUGCAUCUGAGGAAAAGGGUAACCCUCCAAGCACCACUAGGGCUGUUACCACAACACAAAGAAACCUCAUUUUCAUGCCUAAAACGUUAACCCCUUGAGUGUUUUUGUGUGUUACUGUAUUAAUUCUGAGACAGACCAUAAUGCUACACUAUUUAUAGCUACAAAUUGCCAUGUCCUUGCUCCUGAGUUGUGAAAUGAAGAACAAGACUUCCUGUUGGGCACGUUAUCUGGUACAAAACGCAUAUAUUUUUAAAAAUAAUUCUCACACAAGUUGUUUGUUUAUACUAAAUGAUGAAUUAAGUAUUUAUGAUAGAUUAUGCUAAGAGCCACUUCUUCAAGGAAGGUGCAAUGCUAGUCUUUACCGUGUUGCAAUUCUUAAUCGACUCAUUCAUUGCCAAGUCAACUCUUGUCGAUUACUGCCAAAAAAAGUCGUACUUUAGCUUUCCGGAUAUACCAUCAUUUAUCUCACCAACAUGAAGUUUUUUUGUGUAUGGACAUUGUGACAUUCAAUUUUCAGCACACAAAAAAAUAAUACACGCCAUAUAUAUAAGUGUAUAUGUAAACAAUGUGUAAUUUAAAUUUCAUCUUUUGUGGUGUAAUUUUCUGUACUGUUAAAUGUUUAAAAAUGAUCUUAAGAAUAUUUUUUUAGUCAAUUUUUUUUUUUAAUUAUCUUUAAGACUACUUAUGCUGGAUAAAUAUAUAUGAAAUAGAUUUAAACUCUGUGAAAAAAAAAUGAUGAUUUCUGAGAAAUUUAAAGUUGUUGUCGAUAAUAUAUUUUAAAAAGUACAAUAUUCUUUUCAUAUUAUUGGGUAGUUUAUAGUCUUACGAUCUAUCUGUUGGCAAACGCAGAAGCAGGAGGAGUGUGUUGAACAAUCUAAAUCUCUAGGUAUUUGGGUGUAAUUAUUUUAAAUUAUAUAAUUUGCUUUUAUAACACUCUAACAUAUAUGUUACGUGGUCUCUAUAAUAAUUUUAUAACACUCCACUUUGGGUCAUUAUUUAUUAUUUAUUGUACUUAAUUAUUAGUAUAGUAGUAGGCCUAGUGUAAGUAUUUUAUUCAACAUUCAACCCUGAAUUGUCUUGAACGUAACAUCAUCGUUUAUAGACUUCAGUUUCUGGCACAAAUGUUUUGAGUGAGGAUGGAACUUCGUACAAAUGUUUGGGUAGUUAUUGUUUUUUCAACAUUUUGUAGUGAUUUUUAUUUUCUUAAUGAGAUAUAUGCUAUAAUAUUUUUCGAAACAAAUAGUGCAAAAAGAUGCGAGUGUAGUAUUUUUUAAAUCAUCAAGUAUUUUUUGUAAAAUAAAUUGCAUAAAUAAUUUUUUUUUAUUUGUUGAUCGUUGACAUCGUUUUAUCUUAUCCAUAAUUUGUUUUAUUAUCUCCUUCCACAUAUGGUUGUUAAAACCUAAAUGGAGAUCGACUUUCUCUAGAUCACACCCACGUGGUUGAUUUAAAUUCCUACAUAAAUUAUUAAUUUAGGCAUUGAAAUAUGAAGGAGUUGUUACGAAGAUGAUUAUUAUUAUAAUAUGGACGAAACUUCAAUGAUGCACACGUAUAACUUUUUCAUUGGCUAGUUUUUCCAUUCUUUAUGUUUGGAUUUAACAAUGCUCAAAACCUAAUUUGAUGCUUCAAAUGGAUAACGAAUAUUACUUUGUGAUAUCAGAUCCAUGUAUGAUCUUUAAUAAUUUAUUAUUCAGUCUCUCGUUAAUUUGUAAUUACCACACCUUUUCAUGAUAUGUAGGUGCCAUUGGUAUACAUAUAUAUUGUUUUCUCUUCUUCUCAUAUGAUGGAGAAUAAAAAAGUACAACAGAAACAAUUAAUUAUGGUUCUUCUCUCAAAUAAAAUGUAAAAAAUGUUUAUUUUUAUCUUAUCCAUCUUAUUUCAUCCCAAACAAACAAGAAAAAAUCUGAAUAAAUUAAAUACCAGGUCAAAAUCAAUGAUCUGAACGCAUGAAUUUAAUAAUUAUUAUAUCAACAACUAGUCUAAAAAAUUACCCUGAUCACAGUCUAUGAAGAUAAAUAAAAUAGAAAACUUGCUCCAAGAUAUAACGCAUUAAAAUCAAAGUGGACCAAAACGAUAUAAAAAGAAAGUUGGAUUCUCUAUAUUUGGCCUCUCCUUCAUUCUUAUCAUAGUUAAUGUAUUUAUGAUAUAAUUAAUCUUUCUUUCCGUAUUUGAAAUUCUAAAUUUAUCAAAAAUAAUUAUAAUGUUAAAAUAAACGUAAACUUAAUUUUAUAAGUUGAUUUUAUGAUAUUAAAUUAAAUUAAAAAGUUUAUAUUUUAUUUUUUAGUACAAUAUUAGGAUCUUUUGUAUGAGAAAAUCCAAACCUUUCCCAAUCGCUUCAAUAUUUGAAGUGACGAAAAUUUCCACUUAGCUUGGAAUUUGGAAACACAGUAAUUUUUCCUUUUCCUUCUUUCUUUGGUUCACUUUUUCCAAAGACCGACACUUUUAAUUCAUCUUCGUUAAAAUUCAGACCACCACGGUGCAUGAUUGCUUCUUACAGAAUUUAUAAAUAAAACUAAUUAAUUAAUAUACUUGAAAGUGAUACUCUUUUUUGUUUUUAUUAUUAUUAAGAUGAAAAAAAGUGCCAUUUUUUUCUUCUGCAAAAGACUGUAGUACAAGCUUGUUCACCCAUAGAGCUUGAGUAGAAUACAAAGUACACCACACAUAAAACUCUUUAUUAUAACUUUAAUCACUAUAUUUUCCACAGUAAUCUUUCUCUGUUUAUAACAAUUCCAUCUUCUGACGAUCUAUGAUGGUAAAGAUAUCAAAUGUAUUCACAAAGUUGCACUGUUUUCGAAUUUCUCCCUCUGAUCCUGUCAACACUCCAAUGUUGGCCAUUCUUAUCAUUGACGCUAUGAAGUCUUGAAAGAAAAGAGUUUGAUUGUCAAUGUAACUGUUGACAAUGGGAACAGUUUCUGCAUCAGUUGUGCUAAACAGCUCUUGAUCACUCCGAAGCAGGCCAUUUUGAAGUUGAAGAUUGGAAUAGUACUCGGAAUCGAAUAUUUCAGGAGUAGUUACGUCCAAGUUGGUGAGAUUUGUUCCAACUCCACCAUUGGGACAUAUUGCUCGCAAUGAUUCUAAGAGAGUGGUGUUGAGAAUAGGAUCUGGGUUCCCACUGCUAAAAUUGUAUAACCUAUUUACAAAAAAUCUGCAUUGAGCCUUUCCAAUUGUAUGGGCACCUAAAAAUCAAAUAUUUUCAAUCAUAAAUACCCUUUCUAUUAAAGGACCUUUGAUAUUUUUACACUGAUGUUAUAAAUAUUCAUACCUGAAAGUGCAACUAGAUCAGUGACACUGAGGUUCUGAUUAGCAAACGAGGAAAUAAGUUGAUCGAGUGUAAAAUCAGGACCAGGAAGGUUUAGAUUAGCAAGGGUUCGAUUUGCUGUCAAACUAUCCCUUCUUCCCAGUAGAACUUCCCAAGAAGGACCAAGAGCCUGCAAAAUAUCAAAAACAUUUGUUACAACUCAAAUGUUACAAAGUUCCAUCAUUUUCUAUAAACGUGAUAAAUGUAAAAUGAGAUGAAAUGAUUAUGCAGAUACCAGUUGAGAAGAUGUCUGAGCUGCAAGAGCAAGAAUAUCAGCACAGGAGACAACCCCAGGACAAGCAUUUUCUACAGCUGUCUUGAUCUGAUUCACAACAUCCAAACCUCGUAAGCUGUUGUUAUUUGGCGCUGCAGUUUGCUCACUCACAAUGGUAUCAGUGUCGUUCAACAGAACAGAUGCAUCACACCCCUGUUAGUCAUAUCAAAUAUAUAUAGUAAGAUGUUAGGCUUACAUUUCAAUAAUAAAUUAAUGAGUUUUCACUCUUAUAUAGUGUUUCACUUACUUAUAUCUAUUUAAUAUGAGAUUUAAACUGAAUAGAAAAAUAUAUUUACCUGAACAAAACAGUCGUGAAAGUGGAGUCUGAUGAGACUUGCAAGCAUACGAGGAUCAGACUGGGAAACAUUUGAGAGCACAUCAGUUACAAUUGAAGAAACAUUUGGGCAUGUGGUAUUGUAAAAAGAUGGAUCUAGUUGUUGACAGGAGAAGCAGUGUAGUGUUCCAAGCACGACCAGAACACAGCAUAAAGUAGGGAGACCAAGGGAAUUCAUUUUUUCUUUCUGAUGUUUGAAAUUAUGAGCGUGUUGUUGUUGCAAGAACAUGCAGAUCAGCUGCUUCUAUUUAUAGAUCGUCUUUAACAAGGUUUUAAGCAUGUGAAUGAAAAAAACCAAUUCAAAGAAUAACACCUCUAAGAAUUAUAAGUCUGAUUUGUAGAUAGAGAUUGCCUAUCAACAAAAUUCAUAGAUAUAUUUGGUAUAAAUAAUAUAAUUACAAAAAUUAAAUUAGCUGGGUUUAAGUUUUGAACACAUUGCAUAGGUUAAAUGUUGAAAAUGAAAGUUUUAAAGCAUAUGGUGGUAAUCUUGUAUAGAUUAAAUAAGAUUAUCUUGUAUACGACCAACGAGGAACCAUGAAAUAGAACAUUACACUUGUUUUUACAGACACGAUGUGUUUCUCAUAUUGUCAUGAUAAAAGUCUUUGGUUUAUUACUGGAUUAGUAAGUGAAAUUCGGUUAAAUGUGAGAACCAUCUGUAUGCAUUAAGAUUAUCAGUUUGCAAUUUCGGUAUUUUUUUCAAUAUACACAAAAAAAAAACUAAUUUGUAAAUUAAUAUAAACCACAGUUUAUAAUAGAAUAUAUAUAUUUACAAAACUUAAAGUGAAAUUCUACUUCUUUUUUAUAAAGAUUUAUUUUGUAAUUUAAUUUUUCAUUUUCAACAUACUUUAUAUAUUUGCUGCAGAUUUAUAUGGUUUAAAGUAAAAGAUAAUUCAAAUUUAUUUUAUUCAAUAUAGUAUCAUAAUUUCAUAGGAAAUAUUAUUAAAUCUAUUAUUUCACUUUCUAUUUGCUAUUAAACUACGUAUAAAUAAUAAUAAUUCCACGCAUAAAAUGACACAAGAUGGUAAUACUUCGAAGUUAGAACUGUCCAACAUUCUAAAUUAACAACCAAAUUACAUCAUUAUAUAGGAUUUUUUUUAUCUUAUUAGUUUAUUCUAUAAGAAUAAGUUAAACUUAAACUUAUUUCUAAUAAAAUUAUUAAAAUUUAUUUUUGGAGUUAAAAUGUAUACAUUGGUAUAAUUAGGGAUGAUAACGGAUUGGGUCAGACACAGAUAGUGUCUAUCCGCAAUUUGACCCGACAAAAAAAAAAUGCACCUGCUAUCCACAAAUAUUUAAGAAAAUACAUUUUUUAUAAAUUGUUUAAAUAAAAUUACAAAAAAUAUAUAAAAUAUAAUAUAAAUUUAAUUUUAAUUUUAAUUAAAUUUAACCUUAUAAAAUAUAAAUUAAUGUUAAUUUUAAUUAAAUUUAACUUAAAAAAAUAUAAAUUAAAUUUUUUAUUUUUUACAGGUAGCGAAUAUCUGCGGAUAGUAAAUAUUUACGGAUACCACUAUCCGUCGCGGAUUUUAUCCAUAAUUAUCCGCGGAUGCAGACUUUUUUUCACAAGCUAAACCUUUAGUUUUAUAGUAAUUUUUUUAGGUCAUCAUUAUUAGACUAUGUAUUUUAUUUUAUAUAUUUACAUCAUAAUUGUCAAUAAAUGUACUUUGUUUUAAAUCAUCAAUAAAAUUAAUUUUGAUUAAUUUUUGUAUAAUUUACAGUUUUGUAUAUUUUAUUUAUUUUUUUAUGAAAAAUAGGUUUAAUUAAAUUAAGAAAUUAUAAAUGUAGGUUGCUAGUUAUAAAUAAAUGAGGUUUUAAACCUCUACAAUAAAUGAGUAACUAACAAAGGAGGUUAACACUUUCCAUAAAAAAAACCUCUGCAAUAUAACUCUGAUACCAGAGGUCAUGAAAAACUCUCGUAAAUUGAUUGCGACGACUCUAACUGUGGGGGUUUAAAAAACCUCUGGAAAUUAAUUUGUAGAAGGUAAAAACUUCCGCAAAUUGAAAAAAAAAUCUCCACUAAUUGAUAGGUUUUUUUGUAGUGGAUGUUUUAACGUGAACUCAUCUUAACUCUACUAAAUUUUCCUAUUUAUAUAGAUAAUAAGAUUUAAAUAAUGAGAGUGAAUGAGACUCUUAGUCUAUGAAAUAAGUACAAAAUAAUAUUAUGACAUAAAUAAUGAAAAGAAAUUGACCGUGUCAUGGCGGUGGUUUUUGUUAUAAGGAUGAUGAUUUUGGGAAGAAAUGGAUGUUGAAUCUAUUAUAUUAAAAGUUUAUAUAAAUGUAAAACUUCACAAUAACACCGUAUGUUUUGUCUUUGAAAUUAGAGUUUGAUAAUUCUAUUCGUGUUUAAUGUUGAAAUGUGAUUUGAAUGAUUUAUAUUUUAUUGGAACUUUAUUAAUAUGAAAUGAAAUGCAUGAUAUUUUUUUUUAAUUAAGCUUAUUCUUACGUUUUGUUAUUAUUUGUACUUUAUUUAAUGUAAUGAUUGUAUAGAUAUAUUGUACGUUAAUAUAUUGAUCAAAUGAAUAAUCCCGUAGUUGAUACUGAAAAACAACAAUAAAAAUAUAAAAUUUGAAUAUUAUACUAUAUCGUGAAUAUAUAAAUAGAAUGUCUGUUUUAUAUUAAACACAUUCAAAUGACGUAAAACUUAAGAUAUAGAAAGAUAAAGAUUAAUUCAUUUUAAAAAAGAAGUUUCGUAUAUAUAUAGUGUAUUUAUAAGUAUGUAUGCCAUUAGGUAAAAUGAUUAAUGAGCAUUAAAUAUAAAAUAAAAUUGUUUUUUUUAGCUAUUUUGGUUCUCACAUUUCUUUUUUAGAAUAUGAGUUUUAUUUUGCCUAUUUUGAUUCAAGUUUAUAUAGAAAGUAAAAAAAAAAAAAAAAAGACUGAAUACUUUUGUGGUGUGAGGGNGGGUAAACAUCGUAUUCAAUCGCAGGGAAGUUCUGCCUUUUGAAGUUAAAAAGUAAAGGCUGCCCAUAAAAAGCUUCCUUAGUUGGGAUUAUUGAAAUGCAGGAAAAGUGGCAGUAAUUGCUAAAAUGAUGUUUAAGAAAUUAAUUUUCGGUAAAAAUAGAAAGUAAUAAAAGAUCUUAACUAUUUCUGAAAAAUGAAGAAAAGAAAAAGUUGAAGGUUGCAUAAAACACGUUUUGAGAGGGAACGUGAGAUGCUCUAGAAACAGACGAAAUUAAAUUAAGGUUUAAUAGCUAAUUUUUUUUGUUGACAAAUCUUAAUUUAGUCCUUCGUUUUAAAAAUAAUUGAAAUGGAUCCUUACUUUCAAAAUUUUGAGUCGAAUUAAUUCCUUCGGUCAAACAGAAACAAACAACGUUAAGGGCUUGAUGAUUUGGUAGUCUAUAAAAUAAUAUCUCUUAUGUUAAAUCAUUAAACCCUUAAGACCAUUUGUUUCUGUUUAACAAAAGAGACUAAUUUGACUCAAAAUUUUGAAAAUAAAAGCUCAUUUCAAACACUUUUAAAACAUAGACUAAAUUAAGAUUUGUCAAACCAAACUGAAGACAAAAUUAGUUAUUAAAUCUUAAAUUAAACAAUAACUUUUUUUUUUCUUUUUAAUCUUAAGAGUGACUUCCUAGCAGAUUCAGCAAUAAUUGAUACACUUCUCAUUAUUGUUUAUAUAAAUAAAUUUUCGGUUUUUUCAUCAUACAGAUGUCAGUAUCAAUAAUUAAAUACUAUGAAGACAUAUUUAUUUUCAUUAUUGUUUUAAACUGAUAUUUUUAAUUUUGUAAUAUUUUCAUAAAAAUUUAAUUUCCGUCCUACUUCUAAAUAUAUUUAAAUAUCAAAUAUAAAAAUAAAAAUACAAUAUUCCUUUAGGUUCGGUUCUAUUUUUGUGGGCCAUGUUAUUUGAAUGGCUUUAAGACUACAAUAAAAUGAAAAGACAGAGUGUAACUUUCAAUGAAUUAUGAAAGUGUUCCCAUAACCUACUUUUUCCAUUUUCCACAUUUAACUCGUUCUCUGUUUUCUUCUCUUUUAUUUACCCAAAGGAAAGAGGUUAUUUACGUCAACUUACAAGUUAAAGUUGCAUUUUACAUAUAAUCUUCCUAACAUUGCACUAUAAUGUCUUCCCACGUUUAUGGUAGACUUUAUUCAUUACGUAUCGUGUAGAAUCUCAACUCUAAUGAAUUGGCAUUAUUGGAUGUGUGAAAUUUCUCCAUCUUAAAUUUCCAAAAUUUGACUAUCACAUUUAAAACCCAAUGUUUUCAUACCAUUUCUUUUCUGAUAUUGUUAUCUUGAUAAUCUUAUGAAUGCAACUAAAAACAUGUUUAAUAAAGGUCUUGUUAAGAAUGGAAUGAUAGAGUGUUCUAGUAAACAAAGGUGAGCGGAAUAUCAUCUCACAAUAACUCAAUAAUUGAGAAAAAUUAUUGAUUUAUAAUUCUAUUUUUUCAGAAAUCUUUGCAAAACAAACUUCAUCCAAUUCUCUCUAAAACAACAUGUGAAGACUUUAGAUAUAAAUAUAAUUUAAUGAAUAGAUUAUUAGAAAAAUUUAUGUGUUUGUUCUUUUAUUUAAUAAAUUGAACAUAAUGAUGAAAAUGUUGCUCCACUAUUAUUCUAGAAUAAUUUAUGUAUUUGUUUUUAGUUUUUCGCCAGCCUACAUGUGUAACUCUCAAUUACGGAAUUCUAGAAUGAUAGCAGAGAGUACGACAUGGUUCAACUUCAGCUCUCUAUAUAUUCUCUUCAUAAAUUAGUCAAACAAAACUGUAUUUCAUAUUAAUUUUAAAUGGAAAUAAUUUUUUUAACAACUCUUUUUUUUGACAACUUUUAACAAUGUGAUAACUUGUGAUUGGUUUAUUUCAAAUAUUUUUUUAAAUAUAAAUUUAAACAGAUCAAUAAAAUGAUAACAUGUAUUCCGCUGUUAAAAAAUUGUUAAAAAAAGUUGCCAAAAUAUCUGCAUCCAUUUUAAAUCUCAUAGUUAAGUUCAUGGAAAAAGUGUUUUUAACAACAUUUUUUAACAACACAUAUGUGACAGCUUGUAAUUGGUUCAUUUUAAAUAUUUUUUUAAACAUAAAUUCAAUGAAAUGAUGACAGAUAUCCCGUUGUCAAAAAAAUUAUCAAAAGAUGUUGUCAAAAUAUCAUCAUCCUAAGUUCAUAUACCUGUACUCAAUUAGGAUUGAGCCUAGGGAUAGAAAAUAUAAUUGGGCCAGGCCCAUAACAUAUUUUAUUUCUUUAUGUACAUGUUCUUGGGUUUAUCUAGACCAAUCCACCUUUAUAUAUAAACUAGAUGACUAUAGAUUGUCGUAACAUAGUAAUCGGGUGACCAUAAUGCACAAAAAGUACACCAACAUCAUAUCAAGGUCCACUACAGGGACAACUUUUCAAUAAAUUUAAAUCUUCAACAAACACAAAUAAAAAAAAUUUCAAAAAUAAUGUAAAAAUAAAAACGUUACCAUCUAUAAGUCAAUAAAAAUUUACUACAAAAAUUAUCAUUUUUAAUAAGAAACAAAAAUAUAAAAAUAAUACAACUUAUCAGAUUAAUAAGUCUAACUAAGAAUUAUUACAAAAAUAUUUAUCUACGGUAAGAAUUAAAAUUUUAAUCCAAAAACUAAAGAAAUCUUUAAUUCAAAAUUCAUAUAAUGAACUUAGAAAAUUUUUUACAAAAAUAUUUUAAGAUUUUUAUAUAUAAUAAUAAAUGUUUAAGCAAUCUUAAAAACAUUGAACCCAAAAUAAUUUAUAAUUUAAAACAAAAAUAAUCUGUUUACCUAAUGAAAUUAUAAAAUUAAAAUUAAAAUAAAUUAUAGACGUUUUAAAUGCUUAAAAUUUAUUCUAUCUUUCAAAUAAAUUAUUUUGAUAUCUUUAUAUCAUUUGAAUUGUAAAAAUCUUCUUAUAUUGAACGAGAACAUAAUUUUCUAUCAUUUCCAUGAUUACAUAAAAGGUUUAAAUAAUUAUUAAUUCAAAAUAGAAGAAAGCAUGUAUUCAACUAAGCAUACAUUAUAUAUAUUAAAAUCAAGCCAUAAAUCAUUCUUAUUAAUAAAAUUAGAGAUAAUUUUCGGUGAAUGACACAAUUAUAACUGUGGAUUAAAUAACAAUACUAACAACAAUAAUAUGUACACAGAACGUAAAUUUUUAGAUUAUUAUAUUCUAAUAUUUAUAUCUGUAAUAAAUUAUUUUUUUUAUUUUCUUAAAUUAACCUUACAUGUUAAAGUCAAGAAAAGAAGGAAACUAGAUUUUCUUUUUUGUUGCAUAUAAAAGCAGAUGAGAUGGAACAUUGUUUAUUGACUCUCUCUUUCUCUCUCUCUCUUUUUUUUUUUUUUUUUUUUUGUAGUUUCCAAAUCUUCUUUUUGGGUCGGUUUCUGUCAAUUAUUUGCAAAAGUAAUACAUUUCAAUAAAACAUAACACACACCCUUUUGGAAACAAAAAUCACUUCUUCAGAAUAUUAUGGCUAGUUUUAUUAAUGGAAACAGUUUAUUGAAUUUACCAAAUAAUUAAUCUAUAUAAAGAGAAUACUCAAUAUUUAAUAUGUUUUAAAUGAUAUAUUUUGUUGUAAGAUUUAAAUUCCAUACUUGAAAUUUCAUUCAUCCGUUAUCUCUUUAAGUAGUUGGAAAACAUUUUUUUAUAUUAAUAAUAAAAAAGAAAAAGAUAAAAUAUGCAAAUAAAACAUCAAAAAAAAUCAAACAACUUAGGUUAAUGGGAGUUUGCGAUGUUUUGUAGUAUGUUUUAUUAGCAUCUAUUUCUUCUUAUCGUGGUUUGAUUUGUUUGGUUUUUGAGGAAGAAGACAAAAUACAUCACACAGGCAAAGUCACGUGCUUUAGGUGACAGGUACACAAUUCUAGAACCUUUCAUUUAAGAUUAAAUUAUUCAAUUAUCCCUAUCUUAGAAAUUUGUAAUUAAAUCUCCAAAUUAAUUUUUAUUUAACUUUCAAUGAUGCAAAUAAGAAAGUAUAGAACAUUUUUUUCUUAUAUGACAAAUAUUUUUUAAUUUAUUGUAUCAAAAGUUAACUAUACUUACAAUAUUAAAAGUAUGUUUGGUCUCAUAAAUUAUACAUGUAUGUAUAUAUAUUAAGAUAAAUAAGAUAAAAUACGAUUUUUGAAUACAAAUUUCUGAACAAUAUGUUUAUAUGGAAAAUAAAUUAAAAUAAAGAUAGAUAUUAUAAAUGACUUGGUAUUAUCUUUAAAAAUAUUUUUAAUAUAUUUAUUUUAGUUUUAUUAUUUAAAUAUUUUCUUAACUAUGGGAAGGCAAUAUCUAGUGAAAGGGUAUGACAAUGAAUACGUAUACAGCAAGAUAGCGUGAGACAUAUAAAAGUUUAAUACUAAUCAAUGUUUUAGGUACUUGUAUGGAAGUGGUCAUAAUAUAAUAUAUAUAGAUAUUAAACCGACAAGAUUAUGAAAAAAAGAGAGAGAUAUAACUUACGUAGUUGGAAUACGAAAAAGAACCAACCUACUUUUGUCAGUCAUGUUUGCCUGCUUUAGCUUGUCCUUUUGCACCGUGAAAGAAGAUAGUGUGGUGAAAACGUGCUUUGGUUGAGGCAGACGCACAUGCAUAACAUAGCCGACAAUAUCUAGAAGCAUACGACGUAAUCCUAACAUAAAUUUAUAAUCAUUUAUGACAUUUUUCAACCUUUUCCGUUAGGAUCUAAUCUACGAUGUAGACUUUUAGUGUUUGCUUCCCGAUUUCUUACUCAAUUUGUUUUAGACAAUGCACAAUGUGAUGUUGAUGUCUUACUUUUGAAUUUUCAAAUUCAGUUUGAACAAAAAUACUUUUUAAACCAAAAAUCUCAAACUUUUUUAUAAAAGUAAUUCUUGGUCAUAUUUUAUUUAUCUUCUCGUUGAAAGUUCCACAUCGAUGGAGAUAAGACCAAAUUAUAAUAUAUAAGUAAGAUGCAAACCUCACUUUAUAAGACAAUUUUAUAAAAUUGAGUUAAGUCUAAAAUCCACUUUCUAAUACUUUCGAAAAAAUCAAAUAAAUUAAGAAAAAGAAUUAGAGAAUGUGAUUUACAUAUAUAUAAAUAAAGUAUGCGUGUGUUUUGAUAAGAAGAUAUGGCCAUUGACCCGAGAAGCAUAGUACCUCCUCCAAUUCAAUAAUGUAUAGAAUAAAGUAAAAAUUAGUAGCAAUUAAAUGUGAGUUCAACCACGAAAUUUGAAACAUGUUUUGACAGAAGAGCAACAACCAUCUGAAAUUGACAUCCCUUGUUAUUAAUUGUUGCACACUCAACUUCAUAGAGUUAGCGUGUGUACCGUUUUAAGGCAUGAAUUUAUUAGAAAAAAUAAUAAUAAUAAAAUCGCAUUAUUGUAUGUCUCUUUCGUGUCAUCAUCAUAGAAGAUUUUGAAUAUGUACAUAAGAGUUUUGGAGGGCACUCAAAAGAGAUAAUGGUCAAUGACAAAUGUCUACCAAGAAAAUCGAACACUUCACCAACGUCUUUAAGACUACCAUGUUAAAUUAUAUUAAUUUAAUAUUUGAUUCAUGUCAUUUAAAUAAUUAUUUAAAUAUAUAAAUAUUAAAACUUUUUAAUCAAUAAUUUUUAUAUCAUCAACAUUUAAGAGUAGUAAGAGAAGGAAAAACAUUAAUUAAGAAAACUUUAUAAUAGAACUAGAUAAGUUUUUUCUUUUGAAAAUAUUGUAAGAAUAAUGAAAUUCAAGUUUAUAGAUAUUUCCAUUUAAUAAAAAUUAUAAAAAUUGCUUUCAUAUCAAUUUUAAUUCAUAUAAAUUAUAAUUAAUUCUUAACUUCAAUAAGUAGGUAAUCCAUUAUUGCAAUGCAUGAUUUUGUCCAUGUAAUGUGAACCAAAUUUGGCGUCUUUUAAGAUAUGACACAUUGUUUUUCACCUUUAUGGAAAAAUUAUUUAUUUGAUAUUUUUUUUACCAUUGUUGAACUUUAAAAACUCAUACCGAUUGUUUACUAUAUGUCCCCAACGUUGUCAAACUAGUCACACUUAAAAAUAACUAAAUAUUAAUGAGCAUUUGAAAAUAAUUCACUGCAGUAAAAUUAAUCCUUAUCAUCACAAAUCGAUUAUAGAAGUCUUCAUGUGUGUGUGUGUGCUUUAAAAAAAUAUAUACAGAGGAAUAUUAAGAAAAAAAGUAAUAGUAUGGAAUUUAAAAAAAAAAAAACGAAACAUGUAGGACAAGAUAAAAUACUUUUACUUUUAAGUAUAGUUUUUCAUAUUUUCUUUAUCUUAUAUUUCUUGAUUUUAAUUUGUAAGAAACUUUUAUUUUAUUUUUGUAAUAUAUUUAAUAGUUGUUUGAUGGGUUCAUCUUAAUCCACAUCUUCAUGAAAUUCGAGAAAGAAGUAGGUGUGGUUGGAGAUUAAGGGUGCAAAAGGGAAAAACAAGGAAAGAAUGAUCACAGAAAGGAUGCACCGAACAGCAUUAUGCUUCAAAAUUUAAUUACAUCUGGAAAUUUGAAUUUCAAAUUUCAUAAUUUUCUCCCUAAUUUUCGACCAAGCUUAGAAGAAUAAGAAUUUCAAUUUAAUUUCUUUUGUAUUUGGAAGGUACAUUCUUUUUAAGUCAUUUUUUUUAUAUAGAGACUUUUAAUAUGUCAUUUGGAAUUAUAUUUCUUAUGCUAAGAAUGUGUAAUGAGUUGUUACUCUUACAAAUGAAAAGAUAAUUUUUCUCACUUAGAGCAUAUUAAGCAUAAAAAUUUCUUUUUCGAUUACUUAAUUGUAUAGAUUAGAUUCGUAUUUAGUGAACAUCUUUAAAUUUCUUUAUUUAUAUUGAAUAUUAAUUUUUUAGACUACUUGAAAGUAGUCAAACGAAUUCAUAAGUACACAAUUAUCACUAUUUAACUGAAUUUGCAACAUAUAUUAAUUAACAUAUGGUAAAAAAACGUUUUCCUUUAAGCAACCCUUAUAUCUUGAUGAAAAGUCAUUCCUAGAACAUUAAGAAAACAGUAAUGGGUGAAUUAUUAAGAUAGUUUGUAAAACCAUAUCACCAUUGAUGACUUACAAAAAGUUUAAUGGAUGAAGGAUUAAUUUUUAUCGAGGACUACUUUAGUUAUAAUUAUUAUAAGAUUCGAAGUUAAUAGUUAGUAAAUUAAACUUUAAAAUAAUUAGUCUUGCUUUUACACACAAAAAACGAAAUCAAUACUAAAUAUUUUGAAUUAAAUAUAAACUAGCCUAUAGAAUUUAUUGUUAAAAAAUUAUUAUAAGAUUUUGUAAUUGAAGUUAAAAACCUUACACUCAAUUUACACUAUAUAAGCUAAGAUAAAUUUUAUCUUUUAAAUAAGUAUUGUAAAUAUAAAUUAUAUGGUUAAAAUAAUUUUAAUCUUAAAACUUAUUCUAACUAGAUUUAUCAAAUAAUGAUAUAUAUAUAUAUAUAUAUAUAUAUAUAUAUAUAUAUAUAUAUAAAUGAGAAAACUCUAUUGUAGAAAAGUUUUACAGUUAACUGUACUAUAUUAUACUAAAAAUAACCCAUCCACUCUUACUAACAGUUCAGUAUACUAUAUUAUGGUUCAGUUUUUAAAAACUGAACUUAUAACAGUUACAGUUCAGUUAACUAUGAAAACUGUAUCUACUCUUACAUUUUCUUUAGUUCUCGUUCAACUGUUUUGUAUGGUCAAGAAAACUUUAUUUAAUAAUAAAAUAUUAAUAAAAGAAACCGUUCACAUAAAAAAUUAAUAAUUAAUUUUUUAAGACAAAUUUUUUUUAUCACAAAUGUUUAUAUUUUUUUUAUCAAUAAACAUAUAUUACUUUAUAAAUAAUAUUAUUUUAAGCAAUAAAAGUAAAAUAUAUUUUUUUGAAAUUUAAUUUUAUUAAAUGAUUAAGUAAUAAAAAUCAUAAAAGAAAAAAAAAGACUAUCUAAAAUAUACUUUAAAUAUAUAUUAUAUGUGUCAAUAAAUUUAAGAAAGUCACUCCGUAUUAUAUAUCUAAAAAAACAUACAAUAAUGUAAAAAAUAUGCAUAAUAGUACAAAACUAAGAAGUAUAUUCGUUUUAGAAAUAUAUAUAUAUAUAUAUAUAUAUAUAUAUAUAUAUAUUUAUUUAUUUAUUUAUUGUUUACUCUAUCUCAUCUCCAUAUAAUCCAUCAUAUAUUCUAUCCUUACAACUUUCCAAGUUACACAUAAUAAAUUUGAAUAACUUCUAUAUUUAACCUAUUCAAUAUUUUCAUUUUAUCAAAUGUUUAACAUUUUUGUAUUUAAUUUUGUUAUCAAUAAAAUAGUGUAAUCAUUACUAUUAUCUUUUCACUUUUUUUACUUUAUUAAUCAAUUUUUUAAUUCUCUUUUCAAUUCAUUGAUAAUUUUUAUUUUCUCUUUUUUGAAAAACAACAUUAUCAAUAAAAAUAAUGAGAAAUUAAGAAAAAGAAAGUUGAUUAGUGAAUUAAAAAUAAAAUCACGAAAAUAAUGAUUAUAGCCCUUGACAAGAAAAAAUAAAUAAAAGAGCAAUACAAUUACACAAAAAUAAACAUGAUUUUAAAUUCUCGUAUUAAAAGUUUGUUUCUUCUAUUUGUAUUUCACCUUUUGCAAUUCUAAUUAAUUAUAGAAGAACAGUGACUUCCAUUCCAUACAAUUUUUAUUCCAAAUAAAAAAAAAAUUGUUUUACAAAACUUCCAAUCAAAAUGAUUCAAUUUCAAAUUAUAAUCUAAAGUUACUUUGUUAUUAGAUAGUGUUAAAAUCAUAUUUUAAAAUUAGUACAGUGUUAAAAUCAGUACAAUUCAGUUUAAAAUUAGUAGUUCACUUAAAAUUAGUGUAGUUUACAAUUCAGUUAAUAGUUCAGUUAGUGCAGUUUACAAUUCAGUUAAUAGUUCAAUUAAGUUUAUACUGUAGUUUAGUACAAUUUAGUAUAGUUAAGUUUAGUUUAAUAAAACAAAAAAUAAUUCAGUUCAGUUUGUCUGAACACAGUUCAGUUCAGUUUAAACAAAUUAGUUUUUAGUUCAGUACAUUUUUUAGUAGUGUAGUUCAAUUCAAUUGGAUUUGUCCACCCCUAAUUAAAACAGAUUUUUUAUAGGUUUUGGAACCGGUAUAAAAGUAGAGAUAUAAAAAAUAUUGAUUUUUUAUACUUGUUUCAGAACUUAUAUAAAAAUUUUCUUAUUUAUUAUAAAAAUGUUGUAUGUUAGAAACAAUAUAGAAGUUUUUUUUAUCUAUUUCAAAAAUAUCAUAGUGUUAACUUUCUAUACUAAUUAUAAUUAGAAUAAAUAUAAAAAGUUUUUUAUUCAUUAAAAAAUGUCAUCACGUUUAUUUUCUAUACCAAGAAUUUAUAUAAAAAAAUUUAAUCUUUAUUACAAAAAUAUAACUGUAUUCACUUUUUAAACUUAAUAAAAUUACACCUGGUAUAAUAUUAUGGGUUAAAUAUGCUUUUAGUCCCUGAAGUUUCACUGAUUUUUGGUUUUAGUCCCUGCAUGAAACAUUGAUAGCAUUUCAUCCUCUAAGUAUGAUAAUUCUUAUUAUUAGUCCCUACAAACAGACUCCGUUAGUGUAAACAGUGAUGUGGCUAACGGCACAACCACGUAGUCUUCCACCUUCACUCAGCAUUGCUUGCCANGUUGACAUUGAGAUUUAAAAAAUUUUAUUUGCACGUGAGUCUGAGAUGAAUUAGGGAUUAAUUAGGGUUAAUUUGGGGGAAAUUGGUUUUCCUCCGAUGUGCUGNGGCGGUGGAGCGGUGCGAGUGACAUGAGCAUCGACAUCAACGGGGAGAAGAAGGAAUCGGAUAGCCCCUUUUCGUCCUCUGUUUCUCAGACGAAGUCCCUUCUUUCGGAAGAGAAGGAUCGAAACGACAACAAAUCGGAGAAGUUUGGGAAAACUGAUCAAGGGUCUUCUCAGGAGACAGGGAAAGUUUCCGUUUUUGACGAGGACAUGAACGGGGGGUUUAAGGAUCAGGUGGGUGGUGUUCCGGAGGCCGCAGCAGUGAAGAAGGGUUAAGCCAUGGUAAAGCCAGAUAGAGAAAUCUUUGGCUGAGAAAUCUUUGUAGAACUGAGAAGCCAAACGUGGGUGAACACCGCUGGUCAUAUUCCUUGGUGUCGGGACACUAUUCCUUUCUAGGGAGUUAUCGAAAUUCUCAUCAUCGUCAUCCUCNUCGCGAUAACUAAACUGUGCAGAAUGAGGUUGUUGUGUUCCAGCAGUAAAUCCUUGGCUACGUAGGCUAAUCAAGUGCUUAGAUGAAGGAUCGUUCCUUCUGAAAGGUGUCCUUGGAGUUUUUGGAACAGGGGUCAUGGCUGCGGGGUCAGGUUUCAGGCCAUCACGUUGGAAUUGGAUUAGGGGGUCAAGCCCAACCGUUGCUUGAUUAUAUUCAUUUAUAACAUCUAGAAGAUACUCAAUACUGUUUUCUCCAUCAGGAACAGGCCUUCCAAAUCUGGACAUGUGAUCUUGUAGUGCAUCUGGCUUGCCCAUAUAUAUCAAUCUUCCCCUACAACACCAUCAAACACAAGCAGAUCUGGUCAGGAAUUUGUUUUCAUAUGUUGUGAAUAUAUUGUUCCAGUUCAUCCAUGUCAAGUACUAGAGUUUUUCUUUGUUGUUUUUACAUCGAGCUGAGGCCCAUUCCAUUCAUCUCAGACUCACGUGCAAAGAAAUUUUUUUAAAUCUCAAUGUCAACGUGGCAAGCAAUGCUGAGUGAAGGUGGAAGACUAUGUGGUUGUGCCGUUAGCCACAUCACUGUUUACACUAACGGAGUCUGUUUGUAGGAACUAAUAAUAAGAAUUAUCAUACUUAGAGGAUGAAAUGCUAUCAAUGUUUCAUGCAGGGACUAAAACCAAAAAUCAGUGAAACUUCAGGGACUAAAAGCAUAUUUAACCCUAAUCUUAUUUAUAAUUUUGUUACAACAUUACUUUUUAUAUGUGAUGAAUUGCAAAAAUAUAUUUUACACUUGUGAAAAUUCUUACCUUGUAAAUCAGUUUUAUUUUAUGAAUUAAACUCAAAAUUCAUUUUUAGUAAAAUAAUCAUGCACAUUACACAAUUCAAAUUGUAAGAAAUAGGUUUAAACCCUCUUUUGGUCUCUAAGUUAAGUUCUGAUGUUCAGUUUAGUCUCCGCUUUUAAAAAUGUCAACCUUUAGUCCCUAUGAUAUGAAAAAUGUAUCAAAUCAGUCCUCAUGACAACACUUAAUGAACAAUAAAUCACAAGUUUUCAUACCUAGGUAUCCAAUAUUUUGUGAUUUGUGAACAGAAGGUGUUAUGAACAACAAAUCACUUAAUGGAAAACUUGUGAUUUGUUAACGAAUAUGACUGAUUUGAUAUAUUUUUCAUAUCAUAAGGACUAAAGGUUAACAUUUUUAAAAGCGGAGACUAAACUGAACAUCAGAACUUAACUUAAGGACAAAAAAAGGUUUAAACCUAAGAAAUAUAGUCUUAGUUAAACGUAUAACAAUUAGUAAGCGGCCCAUGAUAUAUUGGUGGCCAUAGCCACUUCAUUUCAAGCGUCAUCACUCUAAUUCUUUUAGACUGACCUAACCGUACCCUCCUUUGACGAUUCUGUGGAAACCACAGUAGCAAUUUUAACAAUUUCAGCAGCAUUAAGAAAGUUACAUUGCUUUCUGAUUUCUCCUCUGUUUCCCGUUAGCACACCAAUAUUACCCAUUUUAAUCAUUGCAGCCACGAAGUCGUGAAAGAAAGCUUUUUGGGACCUACUAAACUUCUCUUUAUCACUCUGAAGCAAACCCUUUUUAACCUGAAGAUUGGAGUGAAUGUAUCAGGAGUGGUUGGAUCAACAAUGGCUUUUUGAGCAGAAAAGGCUUGUUUAAGUUGAGUGAGGUUGAAGAAAGGUGCAGGAAGGUUUUGAUUAGCAAGUGUUUCGUUUGCUGUUAGGACAAGCCUUUCUGUAAAAGAAGGGAUCAAGUUUAGCAUAAGAGGAGAAUGGAAUCACUCCAAGAAAAACCAUUGCACGCCAUAAUGCAAGGAAACACCUCAUUUUCUAUCUCUGUUUGUUGCUGUGGACAACUAUGGAGUAAACAUGUUUUAUUUAUACACAAAUCUUGCUACUCUGUUACACAUAUGUAUUACAUUUUCCUUAAACUAGUGCACGGGUUGUAGUGGUGUGUCAUGCGUGAAGGUAAGUCUUCCCUCUCUCCAUAUUUGUACAUCUCUGUUUUUGUUAAAAGAAUGAUUUUUUAAAAUUAUUUAUAUUUAAUGAUUACUUAAAAUUUUAUUUUUCACACUAAUGCAAAAAAAAAUUUGAUGUUUGUGUUUUUUUUCUUUAAUAUCUAAAAAAAAUGAUGAUAUUGAAAAACGUUAAAUUGAUGUCAGAUUUAAAAAAUUUGAUAUUAAUUGACAUCUGACAAAAAGAAUAUUUGACUUUUGACAUAGAGCAAAUUAACGUCAAAUAUUAUUCUAUAUCUGAUGUCAAUUAACGUCGAAAUUUGUCAUGUUAAUCAACAUUUUAUUUUUUUAAUUGUGAUAUAGUAGUAUUAACUUGUGAUUUUUGGUAUUGAUAGUUAUGAUUAUUGAUCUUAGUUGGGUUUUUUUUACCACUCGUUAGAACUCCUAGUCCAUCAUGGGUUAGUCACUUAGUGAGCCAACUCAAUUCGACUCAUUUAUUAGCGAGUCAAAAAAAUUCGAACUCUGCUCGACCCACCACGGGUUGGUUAUUAAAUGGGUUGACUCAUUGGCUCACUUAAUUAUAAUUGUUUUUUAAAAAUAAUUACAAACUUUUUGUAAUUCAAAUCUAAAUAAAAUCCGAAAAUGAUGUUAAACUUAAGACAAUUCAAAGUAAUAAAAAAAGUACAAUACAAUCCAUGUAUAAUGAAUCAAAGAGUAUUUUUUAGGAAUUUUUAAGAUAAUAAAUUAAUAAAAAUAAAAUUAGGUGGGUUGGUGAGCCAACCCGGCUCACCACAGGUUCAAUCUAGAUGAGCCGGGUUUAAAUGAGCCGGGUUUAAAAUUGGCCCACAUAAAAAAAUGCAUUUUUACCUACGCAACCCGACCCGAACUUGUGGUGGGCCGGGUUGACCCGUAGGUUAUAACUCAUUUUGACAACUCUAGAAAAAACACACCAGGAGCCCUAACUUUGGUUGUCUAUAAAGUAUAAAAAUUAUUUGCAAAGUGAAGUGCAAUAAAUCUUUAAACGACUAUAACUUUUACUCGGAUUCUCUGAUUUGUUAUUAUUAUGUAUGGAUUUGGGUAGACGAAAAUUUCCAUCACAUGGCAGCCGAAAUCACCAGCUCUUCCUUCUAUAAUUUUUUUUAAAAAAAUAUUGUUUUCUAUUUUCAUCAAUUUUUUUUUUGUUUUUUUUUCCAAACUUUACAAAAAUAUUUCACAUACUUAGACUUUGAAUUUUCAUCUAAAUUUUUUUGCAGGACCUUCUCAUGAUAUUUUGGUGUUUUGAACAAAUUUUCAAGUCAUUUAGAAUUGUUUUGGAUAUACUUUCAAUUUUGUCCUAAAACUUUGAUGUAUAACCUGCAGUGUAGUACGGAAACGAAAACUAAACUUCAACAAUGAAACAAACAAGUUCCUGAAAAUGAAAACAAAAGCUAACAUUCUUGAAAGUUGAUUCGUCGGAAUAAAGUUUUGGAGCCAGUGUGAGAGAAACCAGAACGCGCCUAUGAAGAAGAACACCAAAACAAUCAGUCAAAACAAACGAAAAUUAUAUCUAAAUUAAUUAAUCAACAUUCAUUUAUAUAAAAUGAAAGAAAGAUUAUAUGUGCUGGUCGCCAAGCAUCGUUCGAGAAAAGUUCGAGGAGAGAAGAUAAUCUCGCGCUAAGAUAAAUUGAAUGAAUUUUCAACCUCUCGCCCAAAUUUUUAUUGAACUAACUAACAUAUAACGUCUGAUUCUAGGGCAUUCGAUGUCUUAUAACCUUUUGACGUCUAAUUUUAGGACAUUCGACAUCAUACAUAAGUACAUUUUCACCUUCGCGCCAAAGAUUUUUGCGAAAUUUAUCUAAUAGGACGUCAGACUUCUCAAUAUCCGACGUCUUAUAAUCAAUUGACGUCAGAUAAGUCUAUAUCCGAUGUCUAAAUUAAACUUUUAUUUACAAAAAUGUUACCGGUCAUUUUUAACGUUAACUCUUCAAUGGUUGAACAUUAAACACAUGAUUUUAUGCGAUUUUUUUACUAGUGUCACCUUUUUUUUAAUUUAUACAUUUUCAUUAUAAUGUAAAUAUAAAAAGGGUAAAAUAUUUUGAUUUUAUAAAAAAAAUAGCUAUAAAUAUUCAUUAGUUUUUUUUUUCUAAAAAAAUUAAAUCAUACUUAAAAAGGACCGAGCAUUUAUCACAUGAGAUGCUGGUGCAUAGGUGACAGAAGGAGAAUUUAUUUGUAAAAUAAAAAGUAUCUUAUCUUGACAUUUACUAUAUUUAUAGUAACACGGGUUGGUGGAAUGAUGGAGUAUGGCAUCAAAUUUAGUUUAUAAUUAGGAAUUAAAAAACAUAAGUGUUGCAUUAAAGUAAGCCAAGUGUUCGCCCAGUUAUGGAUUGUGUAUGGACUUUCCAUUUUUCUUUUUGUCCAUUCAUUUGUUUUUAAGUACACUCUCAUGUCAUUACUGCUUACUUUUAAUCCUACUCUAUCAUUUAAACUAUCAUUCUUGAAAUGGCAAGUUGAUCCAUUGGCCAGAUGGAAAGGCAAUAAAUACAAACAACGGUCAAUUAGAGUUUAAAUGUUCAGUUCAACUUCUAUCAUCCAAUUGUAUAAGAAUGAUAGAUCAUAUUUUAGCUUAUUCAGGAUCUCUUUCCAAAACUAAAAUACACGAUUCAAACUACAACAAAGAAAAUCUAACACACAUCAACAUAACAAGUGGCUAAAAACUAGUUUAUUGGUGGCCGAUCAAAUCAUUUAGAAAGAGCUAACCAAACCCUCUGCAGAAGAUUCCUCAGAGACCACAGUAUCAAUUUCAACAGAUUUCUUGUUAACAAAAUUACAGUGCUUUCUGAUUUCUCCUUGCUUCCCAGUGAGCACACGAAUGUUACCCAUCUUAAUCAUCGAAGCCUCAAAUGCGUCAAAGAAAACCUUUUGAUCGCUAUUGAACCUGGUGACAAUGGGAAUGGUAUCAGCGCCGGGCGUUGAGAACAACUCUUGAUCACUCUGAAGCAAACCCUUUUUAACCAAAAGAUUGGAGUAGUAGGCCUUGUCGAUUCUAUCAGGAGUUGUUGGAUCAAAAUUUACAAGGUUGUUAGGUCCACCUUGGGGGCACUGUGACCGUAAUUGUUGUAAGUAAGUUGUGUCCAGAGUUGGGUCGGGUCUUCCAGUGCCACUGAAGUUGUACAAUCGGUCAAGAAUGAAAGAACAGUGAGCUCUGCCAAAUGUAUGAGCACCUGCAAUGAAUCAUGUAUAUGCUAAUUGAUCAUGUGUUGUCUCUCUCAGAAGAUGGUCAAUUUCCCCUUUCUUAUUGUAUCUAAUUGUUUCAACAAAGGAUAGAUUUCAUUACCUGAGAGUGCAACUAGAUCAGUAGUGUCAAGGCCUUGUUUAGCAAAUGCAGCUUUCAGUAGGGUGAGGUUGAAGAAAGGAGCUGGAAGGUUUUCAUUAGCAAGUGUUCGGUUUGCUGUUAAACUAUCUCUUCUUCCCAAUGGAACUUUCCAGUCAGGACCACCUCCCUAUAUUCACAAACUCAUUUUAGCAUAACUCUUAACUAAGCAUGAUGAACAUCACGGACUUCAUAGACUUUUGAGUUACUAUAUUCAUGAAUCAACUGAAAGAUCUCUGCAUAAUUAUGAUUAACAAGAAAUCGUGUUUUGUACACAAGUGAUAGGAUUAAAUAUUUGAUUUUAUAUGAACUUGGUCAAACAUAUAUUUGAUACACAAACACAAGUAAAAAUAAUUGGAAAGAGCAUUUAUAUAUGUAUACCAGAACUGAAGAUAUUUCAGAUGCAAGGGUAAGAAUGUCUGCACAAGAAACCACGCCGGGGCAAGCAUUUUCCACUGCUGUCUUGAUAUCAUUCACAACAUCCAAACCUCUUAACGAGUUGUUGUUUGGCAGAGCUUGCUGCUCACUCACUAUUGUAGCAGUGUUGUUCAAUAAAACCGAGGCAUCACACCCCUGCAUGCCACAACAUCAACUCUUGGUUCAUCAGAUUUUGGAGUGGUUGGAGGAAGGAUAGUAUAAGUUUAUCUUUUCACUUGUUUAUUGUACAAAAUAGUACGUCAAAACUUUGAAUAACAGUAAAUGAACAACAGAGAGGACAAAAAUAUAUAAUGUACAGUGAAAAUAAAUUUAUUACAUCGUAUUUUUCAUCAGACUUAUAUUUUAUAUAUAAUAUAACAUCACAUGUGGAUGGGAAUCGAACAUAGUAUUGUUAAGAAUGAUAGAGUUAUAAUGGGAUCAGGUUGAAUAAUGGAGAAAGAGGGAGGUUAAAAAAUUAAUGGGGGUCACCGAUGCCUGGGACCCUUGGUGCAUACAAAAAAAUCUAUGUUCUUACCUUAACGUCCGAUGAAAAGUGUUUCAUAAAUACACUUACGUGUAGAAGAAGGAAGAAAGUAUGUAAAAAAAUGUGUGGUGAAAAGAAGAUAGGUUUAGCAGGAAAAGAAAAGAGAGAAAGAAUGAAUGUGUGCAUGCGUACUUGAACAAAGCAGUCAUGAAAGUGAAGUCUAAUGAGACUGGCGAGAAUGCGAGGAUCCUUCUUUGAAACGUUCCUGACGACUUCACGAACAAUGGAGUGAACUCUGGGACAUGUGUCUCUGUAAAACGAAGGAUCAAGUUGUGCAUCUAGAGAGAGUGGAAACACUCCCAGCACAACCACUACACAACACAGAGCUGUCACUGUACCAUGAAAAACCCUCAUUUUUCGUUUCCUUAACUCGUUGUCUUUACCUCUGCGUUUG
rnacentral:lncRNA from 1 species